GAUGAACGCUGGCGGCGUGCCUAACACAUGCAAGUCGAGCGAACAGACGAGGAGCUUGCUCUUCUGACGUUAGCGGCGGACGGGUGAGUAACACGUGGAUAACCUACCUAUAAGACUGGGAUAAUUACGGGAAACCGCAGCCACUACUGGAUAAUACAUUGAACCGCAUGGUUCAAUAGUGAAAGACGGCUUUGCUGUUACUUAUAGAUGGAUCCGCGCUGCAUUAGCUAGUUGGUAAGGUAACGGCUUACCAAGGCGACGAUGCGUAGCCGACCUGAGAGGGUGAUCAGCCACACUGGAACUGAGACACGGUCCAGACUCCUACGGGAGGCAGCAGUGGGGAAUAUUGGACAAUGGGCGCAAGCCUGAUGCAGCAAUACCGCGUGGGUGAAGAAGGUCUUCGGGUUGUAAAGCCCUUUUAUUGGGAAAGAAAAGCAGUAGGUUAAAACACCGCUGUUCUGACGGUACCUAAAGAAUAAGCAACGGCUAACUUCGUG
rnacentral:rRNA from 1 species